CGGAAAAGUAUUACAAGACUAGCUGAAUGCCCGUGGGAGCAUCCACCGAAUCUCUCAUUCAACCGAUGUAAGGAAUACCAAUCAAAAACAUACAACACAGUUAUUUGAAUUUUCAAAACUCACAUUUCAACCUCGACCCAAGGUUCUUUGUCUCUUUUAUAACGGGAUGGCAGAAAGAUAAAAAAAUGCAAUGCGAUUGAGGUUGCUCACAAUUUGCAUUAUUCUAUGUUUAGAACCACUAAAACAAAGCGUUUAAAAAUAUAAGCAUGUGCAACAACAGUCAAAAAAAUUUAUAAAAAAAAUGGAAAAUGUCCAACUAGAAAUUAAAAAACAAGUUGUAAAGCAUUUCGCAAGUUGCAAGGAAAUUUUUUUGGAGUAUAACUAAUUUCAUAUAAACAGUCACAGCCGUCUUCCAUUACUUGAAGAGACCUCUGAGAGGGUGUCUAUUAUUCCUAGAAUGAGGUUAAAAGGGGUGUCUAUUAUUCCUAGAAUGAGGUUAAAAGGGGGUAUAAAAUAGAAAAAAAAUUUGAUAAACUUUUUCCUGUAACUUUUACUUAGUAUCAAUGUCUACGCUAAUUUUCAGGACUUGUUGUCCCGUGUGUUUGUACAUUCUUACUGCCAUGAUUAGCCAAAAGAGCGCUAAGUUAUCAGAAUUGUGCGGAGAAUAAAAUAAAGAAACUUUGAGAGAAAAGAAUUCACAAUCAAAAAUAGCUUUUUCAUUCGCCCAAUUACUUUGUAAUUUAUUUGCAAUGUAUUGUAAGCGCACUGUAUUUUCCUAGCCCUACUUCUGCGUCAAUGAUGCUACAACUCAUUACUUUUCUAAUGUAGGACAGCUCUACUAAUAAAUUGUUCAAUUUUCAUUUCUACUAAUCCGUUUAAGGAUAUUCACGUUAUGAUAAGUUUUAUUUAUCUCAUUUGUACCUAUUCAAUUCAUUUUGAAUUGCUUUAAUAUUUAUUGUUUAGUGUUGUGUUCUGUCGCUGUUGUAUUUUUCUGCCUUUUACGGUCAAUGUUUUUAGGAAAUCCUUGCAAAAAGGGGGAUUUUGCUUUUUUGAAAAAUCUCUAGAAGGUUGCAACCUCUAACUAUAGUAGAACCAGCUGUCAUUAGACAAAAAAUAUCAUUACAGCUAGCUGUUUUGUCACAUCAUCAUCUAUGAGAAGGGGGCUAUAAUUUAAAGGUCUCAUAUGUAAAUGUCUCAUCUAUAUAAUAAUACGCCAGUUCCGUGUCUCUGUGACAGGCAAAGUUGAUAUCGUCAUUUUCCUUUGAUGUUGCCGAAAAAAAUUUUUGAUGUUGCCGAAAAAAAUAUGUCUUCUUUGUCGUGAAAAGCCGCGAGUUUUGUGUGGUUUGUUAAAUGAAGUUCAAGCACAAAGUAACGGAAAUUGUGUUUGCAAAAAAGAUGGCUGUCCUUUUUAAGCAUUUGUCUUCUCUUGCCUUCAAAAUAAAUCUUUACAAAAGCAUUUAAAAAGGGGCAUGGUAUAUAAAUGAAGUAUAGAAAGGUUUCUGUAAGGUUUGUUUAUGUUUUUUAAAGUUUUGAUGAUAUUAUUGAUGCGAGACAUGUUUGUUAGCUAGCAUCAACCACACCAACAACAACUAGCUAGGUAGCUAGGAAUUUAUAAAUAUGUAGCCAUGUUCUUUAUACCUAGCUAAGUCUCCAGUUUAUAUUUAAGUGACCAGCUAUUAGCUACCUUAUGUUAGCUUCAGUUUUAUGUUGCUUUUUACAUGUAAGCUAAUCUUAGUGGUCUUUGCUAAGAAUGUGACUGUAACUUAUUUUAAUUGACAUUCUAAGCUUAAAUUAACAAGCCACAACAACUUUUAAAAAAGUAUUACAUAAUAUUUAAGAAGAGUUUAAGGACUGUUUUUAAGCAAAUAAUGUAUUUUUCACAAUUUGUGUAUGCAAAUAAUGUAUUUUUCACGUUUUGUGUAACUAAACUUAGCUAUAUACAUCGGUUACAUGCAAUAUGACGAAACAAUUUUUAUUUAACAUGUAGUAAUUCUGGUACCUUAAGUGUAGUGAUUUUUGUUGUUCUAGAUGUUCUGACUAAAAUGUUUUUGUUUAUGGCAUUUUGUCUCAAUUAAAGAUAAUUUACUCCUAUAUAUACGGAGGUGUGGCACUCGAGGCCCAAAAUAUGCUGAUAUCAGCAGCAAAAAUUUGAAAAUCAUAAGGCAAAACCACAUUUUUUUUAAAAUUACCCAGGGCUAAGUGUAGUUUUGAUAGCUUUGGCCAGCACUGAAGCGUGCGAUAGCUCAUGUCAAACUGCUAGGGUUUCAACAUGGCUAGCUCCUCAAAAGCACCAAAGAUUGUUAGGGGAAGCAAGUAUAGAGUUUACCUUGGAACUGGAGAGAAGGCAAAGGAGUGCUACGAGAACUUAAUACGUCUAAAAGAAGAGUUAAAGUUUUUAUACAACCAAUAUUUCUUCACUUGGGUUCAUGAAGUUUUGAGGGCACACCACAAUAAAGAUUCCAGAAACAGUAUUAUGUUACUAAACUCUUCAAAGAGAAUGGUGCAUACUCCAUGCAGUAAGAAAAUAAUUGCAAACUGUGAUCUAACUUUAAUCAGAUUGUCAGACUGCCUAGCUAGCUAAGUUUAGUUGGUAUAAAAAGUAAAAAGAAACAUCAGAUAUCUUAUAAAAAUAGUUAUUGACAUGAUGGCUUCUAGCUAGCUAUAGAAAGUUACAUAAAAUUUUAUUUUAUUUAUUUAGGUGAAGUUGUAGUACUAAAAAAGAACAGACAGUCAUCAAGUAGCUCGUCUAAAGAUUCAUCGAUUUCUUUUACUUCACCUCUCUCAUGCUUAUUUUCGCCAACAUAUGAUAGCAGCAGUAACACAAAGUCUUCAAUAACUGGUCCUAAUGAUACACCACGUGUUGUUAUUGUUAGCUCAAAAAAGGCUAAAACUGAAAUGGAGAUUGAAUGUACUAAAAAAGAUUCAAAUUUCCCAUCGAUGGAAAUAUUAAAGUAUAUACAGCAAAUUUGUAAAUUAUAUACAAGAGUAGCUGGCUGAUUUGUUUCUGGAAAGCAUGAUAUAUAUAUAUAUAUAUAUAUAUAUAGCUAUAUGUGAUUUCAAAGCUUUACUGUUUGCAGGUGCAAGUCUUUUGCCAAUGUUUUGUGUUAGCCUACUGUCCAAAGCGCAUUGGGUACAAAAAUGAUAUCAAUUAGCAUAUUUGGACUUUAACCGUCAUUUAAAUCGAGGACAGCUUCAAAAAAAAGAUGGUUCACUUGUUUAUGUCCGCAGAUAUGGAAAGAGGACAAAGCAAUGGUUUUUAGUAGCAGUACCUAAACCAAAGGACUAUAUCUAUAUACGAAGACUCAUGGCAGAAAUACUAUGGAGACGUCAUGUUGACAAGGGAAAUGUUAAUCGCGUAGGGAUUGGACGAGAAUGUACUAAAGCAUUACGUCAAAAUAUUGCUGCAACAGCUGCUCCUCCAAUGGAAUUAUUACUUGAAAAACAUCAAGCAAGAGAAGAAAUGAAACUCCAAUAACUCUUAUCUGUUGGUAUUAUACACAGAAAUGUGCUGGUACUUGCUAUUUCGUUUUUAUUUUUACAUUUUGUUAAGUCACAAGCACAAAACUGAUUAUCACAAUUGCUGCCAUUAUUUCUGCAAGGACAUCGGAUACAACGACCUUUGCACUUACAGGAAAUAUUUUCCACUGCAUCCUAUAUAUAUAUAUUGAAAAUGUUACUACAUUAGUCUUAUAAUUUAAGUUUUUUAUUGCAAGCUAUAAUGUAUAUACUGACUUCUGGUUCUGUUGAUCCAUUACUAGUUGUAUCAUUGUAACUAUUCCCAUCUACUAAAUUUGAACUAACUACAGCAGCCUAAAAGCAAAGCCAUACCAUAAUCACAUUGAUAAUUUUUACACUAUAUAAUGUAAGUGCUUUGUAAUUUAGUCUUCAAGUGUAUACGUACUUUUACCCAAAUGGGUAGCAAGGUAAACAUGGCAUUGAUCUCACUUGACAAAUCUUAAACAGCAUAGUCAGUUACGGAGUUGUUUGACGACUUUGGAUUUCUGUAACUAUAUAUAAAUUAUACAAUAAACUAUAAAUAAUCAUUUUUGUUUAGCUAAAUAUAAGCUACCAAUAUGUUAACUACCUAGCUAUGUAACUAGUUUUAUGUAUGUCAUAGCUAACUGAAUUUAUUUUUGGAAUAUAUAUAUUUUUUAUAUUACAUUUGACUAGUGAUGUAUUGUAUUAAAAUUGGCUCUACCUACAUCUAGCUACCUAUAAAUACUGUUUUAGCUAUAGCUACCUUCUUGUUGUUGUGGGCCUGGAUAACAUCCUUCUUGCAAACAAAUUACCAAUGGGUAUAUCAU